GACGAACGCUGGCGGCGUGCUUAACACAUGCAAGUCGAACGGAAAGGCCCUGCUUGCAGGGUACUCGAGUGGCGAACGGGUGAGUAACACGUGGGUGAUCUGCCCUGCACUUCGGGAUAAGCCUGGUAAACUGGGUCUAAUACCGGAUAGGAGCCAUUUUUAGUGUGAUGGUUGGAAAGUUUUUUCGGUGUAGGAUGAGCUCGCGGCCUAUCAGCUUGUUGGUGGGGUAAUGGCCUACCAAGGCGGCGACGGGUAGCCGGCCUGAGAGGGUGGACGGCCACAUUGGGACUGAGAUAAGGCCCAGACUCCUACGGGAGGCAUCAGGGGGGAAUAUUGCACAAUGGGCGCAAGGCUGAUGCAGCGACGCCGCGUGGGGGAGGACGGCCUUCGGGUUGGAAACUCCUUUCGCUAGGGACGAAGCUUUUUGUGACGGUACCUAGAUAAGAAGCACCGGCUAACUACGUG
rnacentral:rRNA from 1 species